rnacentral:rRNA from 1 species
AUGAGCGAUUACUUGGUAAAGGCGGUACUGGCUUUGUAUAUAAGUACCAACAACGAGAUUUUAAAACAGGGUGUGGAGCAAAGUGGGGAGAUAAUCGCAGUGAAGAGGCUUAUGCCAUCAAUGGUGGGCGCUCAGAGUUUAUUUGAGAAUGAGGUUCAUCAUCUUAUGAGGCUUAGGCACCCAAAUAUUGUGCGACUUACGGGCUAUUGCUAUGAAACAAAGAAAUUUAUUUUAGAAUACAAAGGGAAAAAUGUUUUUGGUGAGAGGCCAGAAAUGUUACUUUGCUUGGAGUAUCUCCCUAAAGGUAGCCUUGAUGGUUAUAUUUCAGAUGGAUCUUCCCAACUUGAUUGGCACACGUGCUACAAAAUAAUUGAGGGGAUUUGCAAUGGUUUGCACUACCUUCAUGAGCAAAUUGACAAGUCUGUUCUUCACUUGGACCUUAAGCCUGCGAACGUAUUGCUUGAUAACAAUUUGGCACCAAAACUUACAGAUUUUGGGCUGUCAAAACUGCUUGAUCAAUAUCAAACUAUGUUCACUCCAAAUCGUUUUGGUACAUUAGGCUACAUGGCACCAGAAUACAUCGAUGAAGGUACAAUCACACCUAAGACAGACAUAUUUAGUUUCGGUGUGAUAAUCAUGGAGCUAAUAACGGGACACAGGGACUACCCAAGUGUUGCUGGAACAUCUUCCGAUGGCUUUAUUGAGCUUGCACUUAAAAAAUGGAGAAACACACUGGAGAAAGCACAGGGGUACACAAAGAUAGAAGUAGAUUGCCAACAAAUAAAACGAUGCAUUCAAAUAGGUCUAAUCUGCGUUAAUCCUGAGUGCUCCAAAAGGCCUACAACAGCAAAAAUUAUCAAGAUGCUUAAAGGACUAGAAAUUUCAGAUUGUAGGAUUAGCAAUGAGGCAACGUCAUCAGCACAUCAGACUUCAAAUGGGGUUAGUGAACAAGGAAAACCACAUCCAAAAAAUACACUAUGUAUUGAGAUUUCGGAGGAAGCUGAUAGACAGGAUCUAGCAUUGGUCUCUCUUGCAAUUGCUGGUGACUGUCUAUGUGGAAACUUGAAGUUGUUGUACCUGAAAAACGGAGAACACAUUUCUCCACAGGCAUCCAUCGUCCGCAUCGUUGUCCCAGGCUCUCCCGCUGGUACUGAACUUCAUGUGGACCCCUACAUGCUCUCCAUGCGGAGUCCCUACCUUCGUGCGAUCUUUGCCCGCCACAACAAUCAUUAUGGUGCAUCUGGGGGCAGUGCGGAGGGCAACAGGAUGGACCUCCAAGAAUUUCUAGGCAAGGAAGUGAAGGUCGAGUAUGAUGCGCUGUUACUGGUACUCUUGUACCUGUACAGUGGCCGUGUCGGAGACCUUCCCGAGUCGGCGUACAUAUGUGCCGACGAGAACGGUUGUGCGCACCUCGGCUGCCACCCCACCGUCUCCUUCAAGGUGCAGGUUCUCUUUGUUGCCUUCACCUUCCAGGUCCCCGAGCUGACCAGCCUCUUCCAGCGGGAUCUCUUUGAUGUCCUUCAUAAGGUUGAAGUGGAUAACCUUCCACUGAUCUUGUCUGUUGCAAACUUAUGCAAAAAAUCUUGCCGGAAACUGCUCGAGAGAUGCCUUGAGAUGGUAGUCCAGUCAAAUCUUGACAUGAUUACUCUUGAGAAAGUAUUGCCUCCAGAUGUUGUUAAGCAAAUUACUGACUUACGGCUAAGUUUUGGAUUAGCUUCAUCCGAGGACAUGGGCUUUCCUAACAAACAUGUAAGAAGGAUACUCAGAGCUCUUGAUUCCAAUGAUGUGGAGCUAGUAAGGAUUCUGAUCAAGAAAGGGCAGACCAAUCUUGAUGAUGCAUUUGCGCUCCAUUAUGCUGUAGAACACUGUGACUCAAAAAUUACAACAGAACUUCUGGACAUCGCACUUGCAGAUGUUAGUCUCAGAAACCCAAGAGGUUACACUGUUCUUCACAUUGCCGCCAGACGGAAGGAUCCUAAAAUCAUUGUCUCCCUUUUAACCAAAGGUGCUCGGCCUUCCGAUUUUACACUUGAUGGAAGAAAAGCAGUUCAAAUCUCAAAGAGACUCACAAAACAUGGGGAUUAUUUUGGGAGUACUGAAGCAGGAAAGCCGUCUCCCAAGGAUAAAUUAUGCAUUAAGAUACUGGAGCAAGCUGAAAGAAGGGAUCCACAACUUGGAGAAGCGUCGGUUUCUCUUGCAUUGGCUGGUGACUGUCUUCUUGGGAAGUUAUUGUACCUUGAAAACCGAGAUACGCUCCUGAAGGUUUUCAGCGAGGACAAGGAGGAGUUUGCCAGAACGACAGCCCUUUCAUCUUCCUCAUCGUCGACGUCCCUCAGCAAGGAAUUUGACAGGUGCCGGCCAAUCGCACAGAGCAGUAUGAGUGUGCAGAUCUCCAUUCCCCAGUCCUUGCCUCUUCUUCUCCUUCUCUCCGGAUCUCUCUCACGGCGAUUUGGGGGCGGCGGCGCCAUGGUUCGGAGCUGGAGCGCGUCAGCGAGCUCUUCCUGGCCGCCUUCCUCUGACCCUGAGAGAGGGUCACAUGGAUCUUGUGACUGCUAUCACUGGAUAGAUGAAUAUUUGGAUCUUGUUUUGUGCCAUGGUUAUAAUAUUCCUGAAGAGGAGGUGGAGUACAUUGCAAUGAUUUCCAAGCCCUAUCUAGACAGGGAGAUGACAACCAAAGGAACGAAGCCAAACAUUCGUGCUAGUUUCAUAGAGAAAGAUAGCAGGGUAGAAAGUGUGGUCAAGAAGAUUAGCAACAUUCCUGGAAAUCAGAUGAGCCAGAUUGCUGAAGAUAUCAAGCUUCAGUUGGAUCUUGUUGUAGGCAUAGGUUGGAAGAUUCUGCUUGUUUGUACCAUGAUUCUUGCCGUGAACUUGUAUGCUGUUGUAAUGAAGUAG